UCCGGUUGAUCCUGCCGGACCUGACUGCUAUCGGAUUGAUACUAAGCCAUGCGAGUCAUUGUAGCAAUACAAGGCAUACGGCUCAGUAACGCGUAGUCAACCUAACCUAUGGACGGGAAUAACCUCGGGAAACUGAGAAUAAUGCCCGAUAGAACACUAUACCUGGAAUGGUUUGUGUUCCAAAUGAUUUAUCGCCAUAGGAUGGGACUGCGGCCUAUCAGUUUGUUGGUGAGGUAAUGGCCCACCAAGACUAUUACAGGUACGGGCUCUGAGAGGAGUAGCCCGGAGAUGGGUACUGAGACACGGACCCAGGCCCUAUGGGGCGCAGCAGGCGAGAAAACUUUGCAAUGUGCGAAAGCACGACAAGGUUAAUCCGAGUGAUUUGUGCUAAACGAAUCUUUUGUUAGUCCUAGAAACACUAACGAAUAAGGGGUGGGCAAGUUCUGGUGUCAGCCGCCGCGGUAAAACCAGCACCUCAAGUGGUCAGGAUGAUUAUUGGGCCUAAAGCAUCCGUAGCCGGCUCUGUAAGUUUUCGGUUAAAUCUGUACGCUUAACGUACAGGCUGCCGGGAAUACUGCAGAGCUAGGGAGUGGGAGAGGUAGACGGUACUCGGUAGGAAGUGGUAAAAUGCUUUGAUCUAUCGAUGACCACCUGUGGCGAAGGCGGUCUACCAGAACACGUCCGACGGUGAGGGAUGAAAGCUGGGGGAGCAAACCGGAUUAGAUACCCGGGUAGUCCCAGCUGUAAACUAUGCAAACUCAGUGAUGCAUCGGCUUGUGGCCAAUGCAGUGCUGCAGGGAAGCCGUUAAGUUUGCCGCCUGGGAAGUACGUACGCAAGUAUGAAACUUAAAGGAAUUGGCGGGGGAGCACCACAAGGGGUGAAGCCUGCGGUUCAAUUGGAUUCAACGCCGGA
rnacentral:rRNA from 1 species